rnacentral:rRNA from 1 species
GACGAACGCUGGCGGCGUGCUUAACACAUGCAAGUCGAACGGAAAGGCCCUGCUUUUGUGGGGUGCUCGAGUGGCGAACGGGUGAGUAACACGUGAGUAACCUGCCCUUGACUUUGGGAUAACUUCAGGAAACUGGGGCUAAUACCGGAUAGGAGCUCCUGCUGCAUGGUGGGGGUUGGAAAGUUUCGGCGGUUGGGGAUGGACUCGCGGCUUAUCAGCUUGUUGGUGGGGUAGUGGCUUACCAAGGCUUUGACGGGUAGCCGGCCUGAGAGGGUGACCGGCGACAUUGGGACUGAGAUACGGACCAGACGCCUACGGGAGGCAGCAGUGGGGAAUAUUGCACAGUGGGCGGAAGCCUGAUGCAGCAACGCCGCGUGCGGGAUGACGGCCUUCGGGUUGUAAACCGCUUUCGCCUGUGACGAAGCGUGAGUGACGGUAAUGGGUAAAGAAGCACCGGCUAACUACGUG